rnacentral:rRNA from 1 species
GAUGAACGCUGGCGGCGUGCCUAAUACAUGCAAGUCGAGCGAAUGGAUUAAGAGCUUGCUCUUAUGAAGUUAGCGGCGGACGGGUGAGUAACACGUGGGUAACCUGCCCAUAAGACUGGGAUAACUCCGGGAAACCGGGGCUAAUACCGGAUAACAUUUUGAACCGCAUGGUUCGAAAUUGAAAGGCGGCUUCGGCUGUCACUUAUGGAUGGACCCGCGUCGCAUUUGCUAGUUGGUGAGGUAACGGCUCACCAAGGCAACGAUGCGUAGCCGACCUGAGAGGGGGAUCGGCCACACUGGGACCGAGACACGGCCCAGACUCCUACGGGAGGCAGCAGUAGGGAAUCUUCCGCAAUGGACGAAAGUCUGACGGAGCAACGCCGCGUGAGUGAUGAAGGCUUUCGGGUCGUAAAACUCUGUUGUUAGGGAAGAACAAGUGCUAGUUGAAUAAGCUGGCACCUUGACGGUACCUAACCAGAAAGCCACGGCUAACUACGUGCCAGCCGCCGCAGUAA